rfam:Gossypium hirsutum cultivar TM-1 chromosome 11, whole genome shotgun sequence
UAUUCAAAAAUUCAUCCUUUUGCACUAUUUAAAAUUGGUGUAGUUGACAAAAUAACCAUACAGUGACAUGUGACGUGCCACAUAUACUUCAAGCUGUUGUACUUGGACCAGUUUUUAACAGUAGAAAUGGAUAAAAAUUUUACCA